rnacentral:rRNA from 1 species
UAAUACCGCAUACGCACUACGGUGGAAAGCGGGGGAUCGUAAGACCUCGCGCUAUUGGAGCGGCCGAUGUCCGAUUAGCUAGUUGGUGGGGUAAUGGCCUACCAAGGCAACGAUCGGUAGCUGGUCUGAGAGGAUGAUCAGCCACACUGGGACUGAGACACGGCCCAGACUCCUACGGGAGGCAGCAGUGGGGAAUUUUGGACAAUGGGCGCAAGCCGGAUCCAGCCAUGCCGCGUGAGUGAAGAAGGCCUUCGGGUUGUAAAGCUCUUUCGGCCGGAACGAAAUCGUCCGGGCUAAUACCCCGGAUGGAUGACGGUACCGGAAGAAGAAGCACCGGCUAACUACGUGCCAGCAGCCGCGGUAAUACGUAGGGUGCAGGCGUUAAUCGGAAUUACUGGGCGUAAAGCGUGCGCAGGCGGCUUCUCAAGUCAGAUGUGAAAUCCCCGGGCUUAACCUGGGAACUGCGUUUGAAACUGGGAGGCUGGAGUGCGGCAGAAGGGGGGUGGAAUUCCACGUGUAGCAGUGAAAUGCGUAGAUAUGUGGAGGAAC